GGGAACAUGUGAGAAGCAUGAAAUGGGAGAUGUCUUGUCAUCUCAAUCUCUCAUGUCUUUCCAUGUCUCAAUGUUUUCUCUGCCAUUCAAAUUCUUGGUCUUGUUCAAUGGAUUCGGCUGUAAGGUUAACAGAGCCCAUGUUCAUGAUUGAGAGAGAAAAACUGUUAUCUAUAUUCAUAUUACUUACAAAAUUUGGUACUUUUUCCGUGGAAUUUACUCUUAUUCUUCACAUCCAGAUGAUGGAUCCGAAAGAAUGGCAGGAAAAGGAAACAAGAACACGCUAUUCACCUCACUGCAUUUCUCAAAGAGCACUUGUGUUCUUUUCGUGUCAAUUGCAGUUUCAGUCGCUUGUCUCUCUCUCAUCUAUUCCCCAUUUUAUCUGUUUCCAUUCAUAAUUAUCGCAAUCUCGCUUGUCUCGGCCCUCCUCCACAUUGCCUUGUCCAACAAGAAACCCAGCUUUCAUCUUCAUGCAGAGGAACUUGCUCAUCAAGGAACCCACACAAACUCCGAAGCCAAAGAAGAAGAAGAGGAGGAGGAGGAGGGGGAGGAGGAAGGAUUGAUAGAGAUUGCUCUUGUAGGAGAGGCAAAAGAAGAAAAGAUGAACAUGGUGGAGAGAUUUCUGAUGAUGCAUGAAGAAGACGAGGAGGAGAUGAUGUUGAUGAUGGAGAUGUGGAGUCAAGUUGAAGAAGACAACUUCAUUGAGAUUGACAUUUCCAUGGGAUCUAUUGUAUCUUCCAAAGCUUAAGUAUUGUUUCAAGUACUUUUUCUCUGCUAAUUACAUCAGUAGAUUACUGUAAGAUUUCAGACAUCCUCAGUUUAUGUUUUUUUUAAACA